CGCGGGAUUAGAGUUUGAUCACUGGCUCAGAUUGAACGCUGGCGGCAUGCCUAACACAUGCAAGUCGAACGGUAGCAGGCCUUCGGGUGCUGACGAGUGGCGGACGGGUGAGUAAUGCGUAGGAAUCUGUCUUUUAGUGGGGGACAACCCAGGGAAACUUGGGCUAAUACCGCAUGAGCCCUGAGGGGGAAAGCGGGGGAUCUUCGGACCUCGCGCUAAGAGAAGAGCCUACGUCUGAUUAGCUAGUUGGUAGGGUAAAGGCCUACCAAGGCGACGAUCAGUAGCUGGUCUGAGAGGACGACCAGCCACACUGGGACUGAGACACGGCCCAGACUCCUACGGGAGGCAGCAGUGGGGAAUUUUUCGCAAUGGGGGCAACCCUGACGAAGCAAUGCCGCGUGGAUGAAGAAGGCCUUCGGGUUGUAAAGUCCUUUCGUGGGGGACGAAAAGGUGGUUCCUAAUACGAGCUGCUGUUGACGUGAACCCAAGAAGAAGCACCGGCUAACUCCGUGCCAGCAGCCGCGGUAAUACGGGGGGUGCAAGCGUUAAUCGGAAUCACUGGGCGUAAAGGGUGCGUAGGCGGUACGUUAGGUCUGUCGUGAAAUCCCCGGGCUCAACCUGGGAAUGGCGGUAGAAACCGGCGAACUAGAGUAUGGGAGAGGGUGGUGGAAUUCCAGGUGUAGCGGUGAAAUGCGUAGAGAUCUGGAGGAACAUCAGUGGCGAAGGCGGCCACCUGGCCCAAUACUGACGCUGAGGCACGAAAGCGUGGGGAGCAAACAGGAUUAGAUACCCUGGUAGUCCACGCCCUAAACGAUGAAUACUAGAUGUUUGGUACCUAGCGUACUGAGUGUCGUAGCUAA
rnacentral:rRNA from 1 species